GCACCUUGCGCCCUUUGGUUAUUCCGGAGGGCAUGCCUGUUUGAGUAUCAUGAACACAUCAACUCUUCAUGGCUUGCGUGAUGAGCUUGGACUUUGGGGGUCUUUGCUGGCUUGCGGUCAGCUCCCCUCAAAUGGAUCAGCUUACCAGUGUUUGGUGGCACCACAGGUGUGAUAACUGUCUACGCUUGGGGUUUUUCCACCAGGUAACCUUCUGCAGCGGAGGUUCGCUGGGGCUCAUAACGUCUCCCCUAGGUGAGACAGCUCUUGAAUGUUUGAUCUCAAAUCAGGUAGGACUACCCGCUGAACUUA
rnacentral:rRNA from 1 species